rnacentral:rRNA from 2 species
UAAUACGGAGGGGACUAGCGUUGUUCGGAAUUACUGGGCGUAAAGCGUACGUAGGCGGAUCAGAAAGUAUGGGGUGAAAUCCCAGGGCUCAACCCUGGAACUGCCUCAUAAACUCCUGGUCUUGAGUUCGAGAGAGGUGAGUGGAAUUCCGAGUGUAGAGGUGAAAUUCGUAGAUAUUCGGAGGAACACCAGUGGCGAAGGCGGCUCACUGGCUCGAUACUGACGCUGAGGUACGAAAGUGUGGGGAGCAAACAGGAUUAGAUACCCUGGUAGUCCACACCGUAAACGAUGAAUGCCAGACGUCGGGUAGCAUGCUAUUCGGUGUCACACCUAACGGAUUAAGCAUUCCGCCUGGGGAGUACGGUCGCAAGAUUA